rnacentral:rRNA from 1 species
AACUUGGAGCGCUGGCGAGGGGCCCCGGGAAGAGUUAUCUUUUCUCCUUAACAGCCUGACACCCUGAAAUCAGAUUGUCUGGAGCUAGGGUUUAAUGGCUGGUAGAGCACAACACAUCUGUUGUGUCCGGUNCGCUCUCGACAGCCCUUGAAAAUCCAAGGGAACUUAUAAAUUUCACGCCUGGUC